rfam:Schistosoma curassoni strain Dakar, Senegal genome assembly, scaffold: SCTD_contig0002195
AUUUAUCUGACGAGUCUGAAUAGGACGAAACGCACGUCCUGGAU